rnacentral:tRNA from 1 species
ACCUCCUUUCUAAGGAUCGAUCGGAAAGCGCCUGGCCUUGAGCUGGGAAGGGCUUCCCAUCUUUUCAAAGAACAUGCCGUCGUCCUCAUGUCCCUUCAUCACUGGAGAUUAGCGCAGCAUCUGGCUGCGUUAUGAGCCUGAGCUGGCUAUCAGCCGCCCGCGGCGCGCCCUAGGGGUGUUUGCCAGCUUUUGGUGCGGUAUGGGCCGGUAGCUCAGGUGGUUAGAGCGCACGCCUGAUAAGCGUGAGGUCGCAAGUUCAACUCUUGCUCGGCCCACCAUCCGCACUCUUGGCGAAAUGGUAGGGGGCCUUAGCUCAGCUGGGAGAGCACCUGCUUUGCAAGCAGGGGGUCAUCGGUUCGAUCCCGAUAGGCUCCACCAUGCCUGAGGUUAGCGCCUCGAACGAACUCCAGAGAUGAAGACACGAUAUCCGAUCUUACGAUCGGUCAGCGGGGAUUGUCCUCGCGCUUCUUUGACAUUGUGAAUGGGUUUUUAAUCGAUGCCGUGGUGCAUUGGUGUGUGGUUCAAGGACCACAUGCGGAUGCGUCACUUACAGAUGUUGUAAAUCUGGCUGAGAUUAUUCGUCCACGCCUAGAAACGGCGACAGUAUAUGCAAGGCUGUCGUUGAUGGUGUGGAUUCUCAAGCGUGAGGUAAGAGCAUUU